GUAUUUAUUCUCUUUCCCAACCUCCCAAAGUGGAUUAUCGCGGUAGCUCGCGUCGGUUUGGGAUCCUCGGAGUCAGACAAAGCCAUUUCGAACGCCAUUCAAGGUUGGGGAUGAGCCACUUCGGGGCAUUCAGUCUUCUCAUUAAGGUCGCUUUCUCAUUUAUUUGGGAAAGCAGUUAAAAUAUUGAGCUCCCAGGACUCUGGGUUUAAGGACCCAUCAUCCUGGGUCCAGUGCCAACACAAAUAUUGAGCUCACAGACAUAAAGCCCGUUUUAGACACUGCUGGACGUAUGUAAGCCGUUAAAAAGGCACGAGGAAGAAGAAGAAGAAGAAGAAGCGAGAAACGGGAAGGAAUGAAAAAUACUCGAAGGAGUGUGUCUCCUCGUGGAAAGGGGUCAAAGGUCAAUUUCAGAGCGCGCUCGGUCUCGCUCUUAUAUUUUUCCCUCAUUCUCGUUUCGUGUUACAUUCGUCGUGGUUCGAUGUUGUAGCAUAAGGUCGGCUGAUGUUUCGUCGGUUUUCUCCAAUCUUGAUGCAAUAGAGUGGGAAAAUGGAGUUUGACGAGAUUCUACAAGAGUCGGUUACCGAAUGAACUUUAGGAUUGAAAAUAUUUCGUAUUUAUUCUCAUGUAUGCAGGAUCGAUACGUACUC